UAAUACGUAGGAGGCGAGCGUUAUCCGGAUUUACUGGGCGUAAAGAGGGCGUAGGCGGCUUUUCAAGUCGGAUGUAAAAUCUCCCGGCUUAACUGGGAGGGAUCGUUCGAUACUGAUUGGCUAGAGUGCAGCAGAGGGAGGUGGAAUUCCCGGUGUAGUGGUGAAAUGCGUAGAUAUCGGGAGGAACACCAGUGGCGAAGGCGGCCUCCUGGGCUGUUACUGACGCUGAGGCCCGAAGGCGUGGGGAGCGAACAGGAUUAGAUACCCUGGUAGUCCACGCAGUAAACGAUGGAUACUAGGUAUGGGGGGUAUCGACCCCCUCCGUGCCGAAGCUAACGCUUUAAGUAUCCCGCCUGGGGAGUACGGUCGCAAGACUA
rnacentral:rRNA from 1 species